UGGGGAAUAUUGCACAAUGGAGGGAACUCUGAUGCAGCGACGCCGCGCGAACGAAGAAGGCUUUCGAGGCGUAAAGUUCUUUUAUAUGGGAAGAUAAUGACGGUACCAUAAGAAAAAGCACCGGCUAACUACGUGCCAGCAGCCGCGGUAAUACGUAGGGGGCUAGCGUUGUCCGGAAUCACUGGGCGUAAAGGGUUCGCAGGUGGAAAUGCAAGUCAGGUGUAAAAGGCAGUAGCUUAACUACUGUAAGCAUUUGAAACUGCAUAUCUUGAGAGGAGUAGAGGUAAGUGGAAUUUUGAGUGUAGCGGUGAAAUGCGUAGAUAUUAAGAAGAACACCGGUGGCGAAGGCGACUUACGAGGCUCAUUCUGACGCUGAGGAACGAAAGCGUGGGUAGCAAACAGG
rnacentral:rRNA from 1 species